rnacentral:rRNA from 1 species
GAUCCUGGCUCAGGACGAACGCUGGCGGCGUGCUUAACACAUGCAAGUCGAACGGAAAGGCCUCUUCGGAGGUACUCGAGUGGCGAACGGGUGAGUAACACGUGGGCAAUCUGCCCUGCACUUCGGGAUAAGCCUGGGAAACUGGGUCUAAUACCGGAUAGGACCUCAAGACGCAUGUCUUCUGGUGGAAAGCUUUUGCGGUGUGGGAUGGGCCCGCGGCCUAUCAGCUUGUUGGUGGGGUGACGGCCUACCAAGGCGACGACGGGUAGCCGGCCUGAGAGGGUGUCCGGCCACACUGGGACUGAGAUACGGCCCAGACUCCUACGGGAGGCAGCAG